UCAACUGAACAAUGAGAAAAAGAAAAGCAACACUUGAUAUUGAAACAAACCAGGACAAGUACACUCAUAACAUCAGUGUUGAAUGGACAGACCAUCAAGUGUACUCUCCGCUCAUUUUAUUUGUGUCAAACUAGAUAUCCCACUUUUCUGACUUAAUGAUGCCUCUUACCUCAGUAAAGGAAAGUGUGCAAAGUAUCCGCUUCCAGUGGCAUUAAAGAACAGUUUGUGAAGACUGCGGCCAACUACACUCUGGAAGGUCUGCCGUCCACAGACCUGUGGUUGUCCAUCACGGCAGACCAGGCGAGCACCAGUGCACUGACUGUGGACGAGUGUUAUUAAUUAGGAAUCAUCUCCAAGGACACCACGUUUCCAGAUUCAUUGGAAUGAAUGAUCUAGUUUUUAUAUAUUGUUUAAUAAAUCGACAUUAUAAUGCAA